ensembl:lncRNA
GGGCGGUCGCUGUUGUGAAGACAUUUGUGCUCUUGUUGGAGAGGGAAAUGAAAGCAGCAGGCGUCGAACACCGCUGAUCUGACCUGAUGCAGAGAAUGAAUGCUGGAGGGCCUGCGGUUCUUUUUCUAUCAGGCUUUUUUCAGUCACGAGCUCUUUACUCUCCUCAGUGCCAGUGCAGCCUCAGUGUUCUGCACAGAGUAUAACAUUUAUCCCUUUUCUCUCUCUCUUUGAAGCACUCGCAGAUGAAUCCGGGCAUUUCUUCUUCAACGGCAACUCUGCCAUUGACAACCCCCAGAACUUCAGGGUAGCUGGCACGAUCUUCAAGUACCGGAGGCCCUCGAGCCUGAACUCAGAUGGGCUGGAGUAUAUCAUAGCUCAUGGGCCCACUAACCAGUCUCUGAAUGCCAUGUACUAUAACUUUAAUGGGAAAAUGCCACACAUAACUUAUGACUACACUGUACCACGGAUACCACCUCUACAAACUGCAGCCCCUGUUGUAGACAGACCUCUGUAUCAUCACCUACCAGAGACCAGCCAGAACCAUCCCAUUCCAGCCAACUCCAGAGCUGCCCAGGACUUCAAUGCCACGUGGCUCUCCCUGUCACCACAUGACACCAGUGAACAGCUUCCUCUAAGAGAAGGGCAUGAAGAUUUAGGUUUUGGCCACCCACACUUCUUCCAAACCAACUCCACCAGUCAGACUCAGGACUGGGGCUGGGAACAAGGUGAAGAGAAGGAGAAGUAUGACUACCAGAUAAGACAGGUCUACCAUGCAAACACAGGAGAGGAAGAGGAUGAGGAAGCAGCAGCAGUUGGAGAAACAGAGUUGGCUCUCAGGUUCAAUCAAAUUUCCAUCAGCACAGCUGUACCCUACAGCAUGAGGAGAUCCGAGCUCUCGGAGAACAGCCGCAUAGCACCCUCCAGGCUUCGUCUCUUCAGGCGACUGUGUCACCGAGACCCGCACAACACUGCCUUCUGUAGGGAGUUGCAGCACCUGGCAGCCAGGCUGGCCCCAAGGAACUCCACGGCAGGGCUAUGGACCGAGACAGCUGCCCGGUGGCCACAGGGCCUCCACAAAGCGUUGGCCCAUAAGAACUCACUGGAGGACUUGAAGGUGGAGACUUUUGCUGGGAGUCAGGGCGAAGCGGCCAACUACAGCAUGAUGGCAUCUGUGGAGAGCCCUCUGCUAGGUGCCGGCCCAUCUGUGGACAUCAGCCAGGCAGAGCCUCUGCAAGCCCCUGGCACUGAAAGGUGGCACUUGAUUUCCUGGGCAAAACAGGAGCAUGGUUAUCUGGGGAGGGAGGGUCAAGCCAAUCCUCUGGUAGUCUCACUGCUGUCCUCGAUGUCCCUAUUCACCAGUAUCUAUCCAUGGCAGCUGCUGUAGAUGCUUGACGAAUGGUGUCCUCCAAAGACUGAUUGUCACAGCUGGCCUGACAUGGAGCUCCCAGAACAUAUUUCAGGUCCGCCUGCCUCUAAGGGAUCCAUUUAAAUGGGUGCUGAAGGACCUGCAAGGCCAACACUGAUGUGAUUGUAAAGAAGGCCAGGAGUCUAUAGCAUGUCACAUACACACAUUUACCACCACAUCAUGGCCCUUCUGUCCCAUUCCUCUGGGCACAUAAGCUUCUGUAACUUCAGUAAACAUUUGGCAGGAGACUGAGGGCCAACUUUUAAACAUUACUGGCAAGCCACAUGUGAACUCUCCCCACCACAUUAUAUGAUGCUAAGAGGGACCUUGUUUGAGCUCCCCUUUCCAACUUAACAUCAUACCUCUCGAGGUGAUAGCACGACUGAAGCUGGGGGCACCCGCAUGGUCGAAAGACCAUAAUAUACAGAAGACUCACUGUGAAUGAUGCCUCCUCUCAGAGGGAUGUUGAUCCACAGCUAUCCACAACCUUGCUAGUUGAAUUCAGAAGGUGGAUCAAGGCUUUACACUCUCUGUUCAUCAGUGGUCCAUCUUGCCCAAGGUGGGGGAGAUGGAGAGCAGAAACACUGGGUUUCUUCCCAUCUUCAAAGACAGCAAGGAGGAAUUUCACUAUUUUAUGUUUAGAGCAAUUUUUCAUUUUUAGCUCACGCCACCUCCUUUUUCCACAGC